rnacentral:rRNA from 1 species
AUUGAACGCUGGCGGCAGGCCUAACACAUGCAAGUCGAACGAGUGGCGGACGGGUGAGUAAUGUCUGGGAAACUGGCUGAUGGAGGGGGAUAACUACUGGAAACGGUCGCUAAUACCGCAUACCAUCGGAUGUGCCCAAGUGGGAUUAGAUGGUUGGUGGGGUAAGGGCACACCAAGGCGACGAUCCCUAGCUGGUCUGAGAGGAUGACCAGCCACACUGGAACUGAGACACGGUCCCGACUCCUACGUGAGGCAGCAGUGGGGAAUAUUGCACAAUGGGCGCAAGCCUGACGCAGCCAUGCCGCGUGUAUGAAGAAGGCCUUCGGGUUGUAAAGUACUUUCAGCGGGGAGGCGUUACCCGCAGAAGAAGCACCGGCUAACUCCGUGCCAGCAGCCGCGGUAAUAC